rnacentral:sRNA from 1 species
GUUGGACCGCUGUCCGGCGACCCUUGAGCCGAUAGACUCACACCGACGCCCGCCGGGAGGCCCCGGAGCGCGUCGGACCAGUUCAGUCAGCAGCCGCUGCAACCCCAGGGAG